rnacentral:rRNA from 1 species
AUUGAACGCUGGCGGCAUGCCUUACACAUGCAAGUCGAACGGUAGCACGGGAGCAAUCCUGGUGGCGAGUGGCGAACGGGUGAGUAAAGUAUCGGAACGUGCCCAGUCGUGGGGGAUAACGUAGCGAAAGUUACGCUAAUACCGCAUACGAUCUAUGGAUGAAAGCGGGGGAUCGCAAGACCUCGCGCGAUUGGAGCGGCUGAUAUCAGAUUAGGUAGUUGGUGGGGUAAAGGCUUACCAAGCCGACGAUCUGUAGCUGGUCUGAGAGGACGACCAGGCACACGGGGACUGAGACACGGGCCAGACUCCUACGGGAGGCAGCAGUGGGGAAUUUUGGACAAUGGGCGAAAGCCUGAUCCAGCCAUGCCGCGUGCAGGAUGAAGGCCUUCGGGUUGUAAACUGCUUUUGUACGGAACGAAAAGGUUUGGCCUAAUAAGCUGAGCUCAUGACGGUACCGUAAGAAUAAGCACCGGCUAACUACGUGCCAGCCACCGCGGUAA